AAACACAUUAUUGUUUAUGUUAUGAACUAUUUAUAAAUAUGAAAAAUAAUAUGGAAGAAGAAGAAGAGAAAAGAAUAGACUUUGUAUUAUUCUAUUCACAAGUGUAUUUUACAUUGUAACAAAUGGGUCCUAUUUAUAGGACACAUUUAGGGGACAAGAAAACCAACACAAUAAUGAACAUUCAUUACAUAUUAUUAUUCAUAACACCCCAAUUGAAUGUCCAUUAAGGAUAUGCCUCGUUAAAACCUUACUAGAGAAAAAACCAUUGGAAAAAAUAUCCAAGCAAAAGAAAAAGAGUAGGACAAAACCAUGGUGAAGGGAAAAAGAGUACACCAUAUAUAUUUAUGUCUCCCCUUGAUAAAAACAGUUAUAUAUGAGAUGAAAAAUCCAAAUAAUCUUCGGUGCUAGUUCCUCAAAAGAUUUGCUUGAAGUUGAUUUUGUAGAAAGAUUUGACAUAUUUUCUUNUAUGAUCGGAUGAUAUUGUUGUUUCUUUAAGGUAAAUAAUAUGUUUGACUUUGUUCCAUUAUUUGUGUUGGCUGAAAAGACAAAAAUAAAAUACUACAUGUAUAACGAGUAAAAUAUAUUAGUGUUGAGGAAAAAAUCCUUAUUUGAUGUUUUAAAGAUAACAAACAUGUUAAUUAAUUUUAAUUAUGAUUAUCUUUUUAUCUACUAAUGUGUUUUGUGAGAAAUGUUUCAACGAUAAUGAUAUCAUUUGUCAACGAUAACGUUAUGGAUGAGGAAUUAAUGGACAAGCAAAACAUAUAAGCAAUGAGUAGAAACAAAAGAAGCAACUUAAAGUCUUGGCCAAAAUGAUAUAAAAGCUUCACAUGAA
rnacentral:lncRNA from 1 species